UCUCAACUAGAAUGCGAGUUUCCAGAAGUUAGUGCCUUAGAUGAUCUUGUUUACUACUCUAUUCUCAGUACACAAUUCAGAGGAUUAGAUGAUAAUGGCUGCAUAAAAGGCGCUAAUGUGCAUACCUGAACUCAAGAAGAAAACACUGAGAACAGGUGAUCCCAAAGAACAAUGAAAAUAUUCAAACCACAGCCCAAGAAGUAUAUGUUCGGUGCUUAUUGUUCACAUGUUUUAAGUGAGGAAAUAGGCAUGCUCAGAGUCAGUUGCAUAAGGCUAACUCUACGCUCAUACUAUAUGAAUACUGCUAAUGUUAAGGUCUUAGGCAACAAGCGGGAGAAAAGAAUAUGAUGCUGUAAUGUCGACAUUUCACUGGUCAUAUGACUUCUUUGAAGAUGAACUAAUUUCUCACCAGGUUAGUGAAGAAUUUUAUAGUAUGAAAGUUGUUAAUGAGCAUGGGAAGGAAACUCCUUUUACUCCUUGGCUCUCAAAGAGCACAAAGCUUGGGCAGCAGUAUCCAAAACAGGAGGCUUAUUUGGCUUUCGAAUAUGUAAUGAUCCAUCAGUGCUAUAUUUCUAUGUAAUAUUUUCAUAUUCAUAUUUCAUAUGUAAUAUUUUCAUAUGUUCAAAAAUAUACUCACCCUUUCUAACCAACCACUACCCUUUAUAAAGUUGAUUACUUAUACACAUUUGGACAGCACUUGCCCACAGAAUAGAAGGUCCAGAGUAAACAGAUACCACAUCAUGUGGCCGGGGAUUUGGCUCAGUGGUUUCGCCGCCUGUUGUGCAAGCAGAAG